GACGAACGCUGGCGGCGUGCUUAACACAUGCAAGUCGAACGGAAAGGCCCUGCUUUUGUGGGGUGCUCGAGUGGCGAACGGGUGAGUAACACGUGAGUAACCUGCCCUUGACUUUGGGAUAACUUCAGGAAACUGGGGCUAAUACCGGAUAGGAGCUCCUGCUGCAUGGUGGGGGUUGGAAAGUUUCGGCGGUUGGGGAUGGACUCGCGGCUUAUCAGCUUGUUGGUGGGGUAGUGGCUUACCAAGGCUUUGACGGGUAGCCGGCCUGAGAGGGUGACCGGCCACAUUGGGACUGAGAUACGGCCCAGACUCCUACGGGAGGCAGCAGUGGGGAAUAUUGCACAAUGGGCGGAAGCCUGAUGCAGCAACGCCGCGUGCGGGAUGACGGCCUUCGGGUUGUAAACCGCUUUCGCCUGUGACGAAGCGUGAGUGACGGUAAUGGGUAAAGAAGCACCGGCUAACUACGUGCCAGCAGCCGCGGUGAUACGUAGGGUGCGAGCGUUGUCCGGAUUUAUUGGGCGUAAAGGGCUCGUAGGUGGUUGAUCGCGUCGGAAGUGUAAUCUUGGGGCUUAACCCUGAGCGUGCUUUCGAUACGGGUUGACUUGAGGAAGGUAGGGGAGAAUGGAAUUCCUGGUGGAGCGGUGGAAUGCGCAGAUAUCAGGAGGAACACCAGUGGCGAAGGCGGUUCUCUGGGCCUUUCCUGACGCUGAGGAGCGAAAGCGUGGGGAGCGAACAGGCUUAGAUACCCUGGUAGUCCACGCUGUAAACGGUGGGUACUAGGUGUGGGGUCCAUUCCACGGGUUCCGUGCCGUAGCUAACGCUUUAAGUACCCCGCCUGGGGAGUACGGCCGCAAGGCUAAAACUCAAAGGAAUUGACGGGGCCCCGCACAAGCGGCGGAGCAUGCGGAUUAAUUCGAUGCAACGCGUAGAACCUUACCUGGGUUUGACAUGGAUCGGGAGUGCUCAGAGAUGGGUGUGCCUCUUUUGGGGUCGGUUCACAGGUGGUGCAUGGCUGUCGCCAGCUCGUGUCGUGAGAUGUUGGGUUAAGUCCCGCAACGAGCGCAACCCUUGUUCACUGUUGCCAGCACGUUAUGGUGGGGACUCAGUGGAGACCACCGGGGUCAACUCGGAGGAAGGUGGGGAUGACGUCAAGUCAUCAUGCCCCUUAUGUCCAGGGCUUCACGCAUGCUACAAUGGCUGGUACAGAGAGUGGCGAGCCUGUGAGGGUGAGCGAAUCUCGGAAAGCCGGUCUCAGUUCGGAUUGGGGUCUGCAACUCGACCUCAUGAAGUCGGAGUCGCUAGUAAUCGCAGAUCAGCAACGCUGCGGUGAAUACGUUCCCGGGGCU
rnacentral:rRNA from 1 species